rnacentral:lncRNA from 1 species
GCACGGCACCACGAGCGAUGGCACUGGUGGCCAAAAGAAGGAGAAAUAAGUCUCGACUAAACUUGGGAGAAACCAAGACAUUGUUUUUGCAGGUUUUCUAGCGAACCCGACGGGUGGUGGCCUUGCGCAAUGUCACAGGAAGAAGAUGAAGUGGGAGAGGAAGAGGGGCUGGGCUUACCUCAGGCUCCGAUGACUUCUCUGGUGGA